CUUCCUCUUCCUCUCUCUCUCUCUCUUCUCCUCUUCUCUUCACCUAUGGUGGAUCUCUCUCAUCACCCAUAAUCUUCUUCAAGGUGUUAUAGUACAGAGAAAGAGAUGGGUGUUGUGUUCACCACCCAUAAUCUUCUUCAACAUCAGUCCACUGCCAUAGCAACUCCGCGACUGUCCACCACCAUUGAAAAGGAAGAUCAGCAAAGAACAAAAACCCAAUGCAGCAUCAACACCCAUCCUCGCUCUUCGCUACCGACGCUGAAUUCCCCAAAUCAGAGGUUUACUGAUUUAUGAUGGAGCAAUUGGGGCAUCAGAGGCUAACAUGUUUGCUUGUGGCAUGGUCGACAUUGCUUGUUCAAAUCUUCUUCAUUCAUGCUAUGGAUUGUAGUCAACAUAAUGGGUGAGAAACUAAAAGAAGCUUUUCAUUGUGAAUUUUCUUUCACUGCCUUUCUAUUGGUUUUAUUAUGAUAAUCUCUUAUAUUGUUUCCUAACUUCAGUUACAAUGUUUGACCAUUAAAACCGUAGAUUAAUUGUUGCAAAGUUUACAAGUAAAACUGCUACAAGUGGUUUAUGAAGCUUGGCUAUGUUAAAUGUAACUGAAGGUGUUGCCUUUGCUCAUUCACUUUGAUGCCACUUAUGGUGAACCAUAAGUGUCUUCCCUUUUUUUUUUUGGUUUGAUCGGCAAAAAAAAAAAUCCUUUGUUGAUGAAUAAAGAAAUCAUUACACUUAUUGAUGAACCAUAGGUGUCUUGAUGCAUUAAGAAUUGAUACACCUAAUAAACAGAACACAAAACACAAACAUGAAUAAGAAUAAGAAACAAGGAUCAAAUAUAAAUGAACACAAAAAAUUUACAUGAUUCUUUCCAAAAACUAGUUGUGGAUUGUAAUAUGACCAGAAAGUCAUAAUAUCUAGAGCUAGCCUUUUCUCCCCUCAAUUAUAAGUACAUAGAAAUUAGAGCAACAUGUGUGUAAAAAUAUCAAAAUAUCCUUACUCUAAAAUUUGGGAUCAAAUGGUUAGUAUUCAGUUCUUAUCAGGAUCCACACCACCCUAAAAUGAUGCUCCAGCUAAUGUGGCUUGAUUCAUCCCAACCAUUCCUCUCCCGGUAGAUAAGGCUAAAAUAGUAAUUUCAAUAU